rnacentral:rRNA from 2 species
GACGAACGCUGGCGGCGUGCCUAAUACAUGCAAGUCGAACGAACUCUGGUAUUGAUUGGUGCUUGCAUCAUGAUUUACAUUUGAGUGAGUGGCGAACUGGUGAGUAACACGUGGGAAACCUGCCCAGAAGCGGGGGAUAACACCUGGAAACAGAUGCUAAUACCGCAUAACAACUUGGACCGCAUGGUCCGAGCUUGAAAGAUGGCUUCGGCUAUCACUUUUGGAUGGUCCCGCGGCGUAUUAGCUAGAUGGUGGGGUAACGGCUCACCAUGGCAAUGAUACGUAGCCGACCUGAGAGGGUAAUCGGCCACAUUGGGACUGAGACGCGGCCCAAACUCCUACGGGAGGCAGCAGUAGGGAAUCUUCCACAAUGGACGAAAGUCUGAUGGAGCAACGCCGCGUGAGUGAAGAAGGGUUUCGGCUCGUAAAACUCUGUUGUUAAAGAAGAACAUAUCUGAGAGUAACUGUUCAGGUAUUGACGGUAUUUAACCAGAAAGCCACGGCUAACUACGUGCCAGCAGCCGCGGUAAUACGUAGGUGGCAAGCGUUGUCCGGAUUUAUUGGGCGUAAAGCGAGCGCAGGCGGUUUUUUAAGUCUGAUGUGAAAGCCUUCGGCUCAACCGAAGAAGUGCAUCGGAAACUGGGAAACUUGAGUGCAGAAGAGGACAGUGGAACUCCAUGUGUAGCGGUGAAAUGCGUAGAUAUAUGGAAGAACACCAGUGGCGAAGGCGGCUGUCUGGUCUGUAACUGACGCUGAGGCUCGAAAGUAUGGGUAGCAAACAGGAUUAGAUACCCUGGUAGUCCAUACCGUAAACGAUGAAUGCUAAGUGUUGGAGGGUUUCCGCCCUUCAGUGCUGCAGCUAACGCAUUAAGCAUUCCGCCUGGGGAGUACGGCCGCAAGGCUGAAACUCAAAGGAAUUGACGGGGGCCCGCACAAGCGGUGGAGCAUGUGGUUUAAUUCGAAGCUACGCGAAGAACCUUACCAGGUCUUGACAUACUAUGCAAAUCUAAGAGAUUAGACGUUCCCUUCGGGGACAUGGAUACAGGUGGUGCAUGGUUGUCGUCAGCUCGUGUCGUGAGAUGUUGGGUUAAGUCCCGCAACGAGCGCAACCCUUAUUAUCAGUUGCCAGCAUUAAGUUGGGCACUCUGGUGAGACUGCCGGUGACAAACCGGAGGAAGGUGGGGAUGACGUCAAAUCAUCAUGCCCCUUAUGACCUGGGCUACACACGUGCUACAAUGGAUGGUACAACGAGUUGCGAGCUCGCGAGAGUAAGCUAAUCUCUUAAAGCCAUUCUCAGUUCGGAUUGUAGGCUGCAACUCGCCUACAUGAAGUCGGAAUCGCUAGUAAUCGCGGAUCAGCAUGCCGCGGUGAAUACGUUCCCGGGCCUUGUACACACCGCCCGUCACACCAUGAGAGUUUGUAACACCCAAAGUCGGUGGGGUAACCUUUUAGGAACCAGCCGCCUAAGGUGGGACAGAUGAUUAGGGUG